rnacentral:rRNA from 1 species
UACAGAGGUCUCAAGCGUUGUUCGGAUUCAUUGGGCGUAAAGGGUGCGUAGGUGGCGCGGUAAGUCGGGUGUGAAAUUUCGGAGCUUAACUCCGAAACUGCAUUCGAUACUGCCGUGCUUGAGGACUGGAGAGGAGACUGGAAUUUACGGUGUAGCAGUGAAAUGCGUAGAGAUCGUAAGGAAGACCAGUGGCGAAGGCGGGUCUCUGGACAGUUCCUGACACUGAGGCACGAAGGCCCAGGGGAGCAAAACGGGG